UGGAGAUUGCCUCAGCAUUUCCUAGUAAUGGCAUCCAUAUUGCAGGAGAGGAAGAAAGCAUUCAGCUGACUGACCCUUCCUGAGCUGACGCUGAAAGGACAACUUCUUGGAUGGAGCACAGGCUUGUAGAAAAGAGAGAAACUGCUUAUUGAAUGAACGUGAACAUUUGUGAAUGAGACCCUCUUCUGUUCCAGCAAGAUAAAGAUAAGUGUCCUGAAAUAAAGUGCCAAAUCCUGGACUAGUGCAUGUCAAGGCAACUCCAAAGGAGGCUCUGACCUCUGCUGCACGGUUAUUCUGAAUAGCCCUUCAGCCAGGAUGGACUUUGUGAGCUUACCUUCGGAUGGAAGUCAAAGCACAUCCCAGCUGCCCAUUGGGAUAUAGGAGUUUCACUUUCCCUUUCUUUCUCACUUGCCUCCGUGUGGCAUUUCUCCUCCUGGUGGGCUCUGGCAAGACCAGCACUUUCCAAAGUGGUCGUAGAAGUUAUGCUGCCUGACAACAGAUCAGUAAUGAAAACAUAUGUUAUGCACCGUUCAGAAGGAUGAAAAAGCUGAAGAAAUAUAAACCUCCCAGAAAAAUGUUACCUCCCUCAGCAGCUGCAGGCGUAGCCUGCUCUUCA